rfam:Micromonospora aurantiaca ATCC 27029, complete genome.
CUUCACGGAGCCGAGCAGCAGCGGCUCGUCGCGCUCCUGCCCGUACGUGGCGAGCAGGGCCUGGGCCUC